rnacentral:lncRNA from 1 species
AGAGUCGCACGGCCGACGGAUGGGUUGUGGAGCCCCACGCCUCAAACCGGCUUUCUCUUACCCCCGGGGCGCUCUAUGGACCCGGCUCCCGCCCCGAGGCUGGAUCCCUGCGGGACUGCGCUCCGGAGGGGCGGACACAGUCGCCUUCCGGACCCACGGAAUUGCGGGGUGACAAAAGGCUCGAGCCCGAGGCUCGGUCUGGAGUCGCAUCUGCGCACUCGGAGGCGACAGCGCCAGGUCGGGGGGUCCGGGCGGAAGGACUCCACUUCCCAGAGGGCUCGGGGACACCGCUGCCUGUCCUGGGGGCGUCUGCAGAGCGAGGAGAGAGACUUGUGCCUUCAGUGUCGGUCUUAAAAUGGAACUAAUUCCCCACCGAUAGGUCUCUUUUCUGAAUAACCUGAGCAGCUGUCGUUUAAAAGUUCGGAGUGAUAUUAGCGUCUGGCUGUUAGUUGGCGGUGGGUGAUGGGGACACGUGACACAAAAUAAUUUUCUUAGUAUUUCUCAGUCGUUCUUACCAUAAAGGCUCAAGUCUGGAAACGGAGUGCUAGAGCGGAUUUUGUUGAAAGCAUCCUGGCUCGUUUGAAAAGCAUUGGCGGGGGUGAGAAGUCACUCUCCCUAUGGAGAAAUAUAAAAGCAGCAGCAUGAUUAGGAGUAAGAUCACAAGGAAGCGUUAGCCGUAAGAAAGAAGCCAGGAAGGGAGGAUGGCGCGGACUUGGAUGGGCCCUUCCCUGGAGCCAAAGAUCAGUCGAAGCAAAAGGUACUUUCUUCAAAGUCAGAAACGCUUGCGGCUGCAGCUCUGUUCGUGGAAAUCCGGAGAAACCCAUUGUAUCUCAAUUGCCAUUCUAGUCCACAUUACCGUACUCACCUGAACCGUCUCCACAUCUAAUCUUCCUCAGUUCAUUCCCUCAGUCCGUGGUGUUUGAAGCAGCAGAGAGGAACGUUUAAAAGUUAAAUCUGUUUAUGUCACUCUUCUCAGAACCCUUCAGUGGUUUCUUCUGCCCUGGAGUAGUAUGUAAAGUGAACACAGUUUAUAAAGCCCUGCUUAAUCUGGCUCUGCCUAUCCUGAAUUGGGGAGUCAUCUUCCUAUCUUUCCGUAUACUCAGAUCACAUGGGCUUUUUAUAGCAUCUCACACACCCCAAACCCUUUGCCUCUCUUAGUCUGCAUGUUCUGCUUAGAACAUGUCCCUCUAGCCAGUCUCCAGAUUUCAGUUCAAAUGUCACCUCUUCAAAGAAGCCUUCCCUUCCCCUUCCUUCCCUUUAACUGAAAUAAUUCUCUUGCAGAACCCUGUUCUUUCUCUCCAUAGAUUUACACAAUUUAGACUUUUUUCCCCUGUUAAUGUAUAACAGGCAUGCCAGAAUGGGUGUUAACAGCUUGGAAGAAAAUCCCACCCCCCAGAAAAAAAGAAAAAGAAAAUCCCAAAGACAAUAGUGGAACCUACUUAAGAAUUGGUUUAUUCCAGGAGUUCCCACUGUGGCUCAGAGGAAACAAAUAGGACUAGUAUCCAUGAGGAUGCGGUUCGAUCCCUGGCCUCACUCAGUGGGUUAAGGAUCUGGCUUUGUCAUGAGCUGUGGUAUAGGUCGAAGACGUGGCUUGGAUCUUCUGUUGCUGCACCUGUGGCGUAGGCUGACAGCUGUAGCUUGGAUUCUACCCUCGCCUGGGAACGUCCUGCCCUCCAUAUGCUGCAGGUGCAGCCCUAAAAAGAAAACAAACAAAAACACCUAGUAGUUUCCUGCUAUAUAACCUAGUAGUUAUAUUAUUCAAAAUAAACACUUUUCCUCAGAGGUGUGACUCGAGAAGUCUUGGGUGAAGGGCUGGAGGAAGAGGGUCCAUCUGCCCACGUUUCUUCUUCCUAGCUUGGUCUAUUCUGUUCUGUGGUCCAUCCCCAGCUCAGCACAUCAUGUUAUCCUAUUAUGAUUAUGCAACUGUUGGGGAAAUAAAUUAGGAGAACUGCCCUCAGAGUUGCCACGUUUUACUUGUUUAUCUCCUAGUUGAGACACACAUCUGGCUUGAGGAAUCUAAGUUCCCAGACCAGAGAUCAAACCUGGGUCACAGUUGUGAAAGCGUGAAAUCUUAACUACUGGUCCAUCAGGGAACUCCUCAAAGUCAUUCUACAGAGGAGGGAAGCUUCAGAAGCGAGGCCUGCGAUACUGACAGUGGAGGCCCCCCCCCACCCCUAUUCCUCUUUGUAGAAGACCUGGCUCAGCCAGCGCUGCAGGGCAGUUUCAGGCAUUUGAAGGGACAGAAGGGAGGCAGAUGACAUGGGCAGUCAGUCCACGGCAGUCCAUGGGCAAGUCCCUUCCAGGAAUAUGAACAUAGGGAGGUAGAAGACAGGUCUGGUCUCCAAGCCACCUUUGUGUCCUCACAGUAGGACCCACUCUAGCUAAGGACCCAGGAUGCUCCAUCGUCCCAAAUGAAGACAACUGACGUCAGCGUUUCCUUCCACGUUCCUCCCUCUCAUUUUCCCCGGGUGGGUCGAAUUUUCCCCUGGCAUCUGCUGAUCCUUAGGAUGCUCCUGAGUCAAGAGCAUCUCUGGCCUCACCUCAUAUUCCUCUGGCUUUGUGGCUUCUGGAAACCCGGUCCCAGAGAAGGGGCGGGGCCAGCAGUGCUGUUUCCAAGGAUGGCGGGAACCUCAAAAGCCCCAGGGACCACGGGCUGGUUUUUGGAGGCGACGUCGAGCUCCUUCCCCUAACCCUGUCUGCCUCUACUUUUUCCACAUUUUCAUCAAAGAACAGGAAACCCAGGGCAGGAAUCCCAAACCAUCUGGACGGAGGAUAGCAAACACCGAAUUCUGCAACUGAGAAGCAAGGAAGUUGGCAUGCGAUAAAAUAUAUAGAACAGAUGAGCAUCCAUGGCCUCGUGGCGAAACAGUAGCACACCUGAUUCUAGAUCAGAAGAUGGAGAGGUCAAACUACUCUGGCUUCAAAACAGGCUUUGGAUUCUGAGAGUUUGCUCAUCAUCAGCCUUUAAAAAACCACACUUGGGAAAUUUCUCUUGUGGUCUAGUGGUUGAGGCUGGGCACUCUAACUGCUGCAGCUCCGGUUCAAUUCCCCACGUCAGCUAACUGAGUACCUCUGCAUUUAAACAUCAAUAAAUAACCUUUAGGAGGCC